rnacentral:siRNA from 1 species
CAACCGGAUUAUCUGCUUGCGGC